rnacentral:rRNA from 1 species
GACGAACGCUGGCGGCGUGCUUAACACAUGCAAGUCGAACGGAAAGGCCCUGCUUUUGUGGGGUGCUCGAGUGGCGAACGGGUGAGUAACACGUGAGUAACCUGCCCUUGACUUUGGGAUAACUUCAGGAAACUGGGGCUAAUACCGGAUAGGAUCUCCUGCUGCAUUGUGGGGGUUGGAUAGUUUCGGCGGUUGGGGAUGGACUCGCGGCUUAUCAGCUUGUUGGUGGGGUAGUGGCUUACCAAGGCUUUGACGGGUAGCCGGCCUGAGAGGGUGACCGGCCACAUUGGGACUGAGAUACGGCCCAGACGGCAACGGGAGGCAGCAGGGGGGAAUAUUGCAAAAUGGGCGGAAGCCUGAUGCAGCAACGCCGCGGGCGGGAUGACGGCCUUCGGGUUGUAAACCGCUUUCGCCUGUGACGAAGCGUUAGUGACGGUAAUGGGUAAAGAAGCACCGGCUAACUACGUG